rnacentral:rRNA from 2 species
UUGGAGGGCAAGUCUGGUGCCAGCAGCCGCGGUAAUUCCAGCUCCAAUAGCGUAUAUUAAAGUUGUUGCAGUUAAAAAGCUCGUAGUUGAAUUUCGGGAUCAAUUUGCUGGUCGUGCCUUCGGUACGCACUGGUAUUAUUGGUUUCUCCUUUCUGAUGAAUCGCGAUGUCAUUAAUUUGGUGUCGUGGGGAAUCAGGACCGUUACUUUGAAAAAAUUAGAGUGUUUAAAGCAGGCUCACGCUUGAAUACAUUAGCAUGGAAUAAUGAAAUAGGACGUUUGAUUCUAUUUUGUUGGUUUCUAGGAUCGACGUAAUGAUUAAUAGGGAUAGUUGGGGGCAUUAGUAUUCAAUUGUCAGAGGUGAAAUUCUUGGAUUUAUUGAAGACUAACUACUGCGAAAGCAUUUGCCAAGGAUGUUUUCAUUAAUCAAGAACGAAAGUUAGGGGAUCGAAGACGAUCAGAUACCGUCGUAGUCUUAACCAUAAACUAUGCCGACUAGGGAUCGGAUGAUGUUAAUUUUUUAAUGACUCAUUCGGCGCCUUACGGGAAAC